ACACUGCAAAGAUUUUAGCCCAGUGUCUGGAAGCAGUGUAACUUCAACACACACAGUCUUUCAUAAUUUAAUUUUCUUUUGGAAUUACCAAUAUUAUUAUAUAUAGCCAUAUUGUUUCUGUUUAAAUGAAUGACUACUAAAUGCCAAAAUUCAAAAGAUCAUAUUUAAUGUUAGGUGUAACCCAAGGUAUAUAAACUAAAAAUAUCGUUUAACAAAAAUUAUACUCUUGGUUUUUUAAAAGCUGUUCUGUUUUAAACACUAGACAACCAACCUACAUUUGCAGCAAAAGCACAUGAUGUGUGCUUACAAUUUUAGUAGACAAAAUAGUAAAAUUCGUGGACUGAAAAGUGUACCUUGAGUAACAAGCUCAAAUUUCAAUAUCAUUCUUUUAAAAGACCUGGACAUUCAUCCCAUUAUUUACUAUUAGACCAUGUUUUAAAUCAUAGAGUUCAGCUUAGCUUCUAGGGGAAAAGAAUCUUUUCUUAAAGUACUUUCUUCAAAGCAUGCUUCAACUGGAUCACUCUUCAGGUCGUCAUGAUUUGCUAGUAUUAAGUUACUUCUGCCUAUAAUUUGCUGUAUAUCAAUUU
rnacentral:lncRNA from 1 species